CAUCCGCCGCCACCUCCGCUAGCGAACCUCAACGCAACAACCGUGCCUGCGCAAACGUGCGUCCUCCAGUGCCCUCACUUCGAAUCGUGCGUAGCCCAACCAUAAACACUUUUAUUUGACGUUUAGACAAACUAUAUAGUUUGCUUUUUCUUUUUUAAAUUUUCAGGUGCUCUGGGUGCACUCAAGAAUUCAGUCUCUAUUGUCCGAUCAUCGUCGAUGAAGCUGCUGAGUUUUUCAAGAGCCUUGGAAUUUCAGUCUUCACUUUUGAUAGCUAUAGAUUGGUGUCUGCUCGAAUCAUUCCUGAUGGAUUUUUCUUUUUUUUUUGAAGUUGUCCCAAUUGGAUUUUUUUUUGGUUUUAAUUCUUGGUUUGGCAGUACAGUGAGGAUGGAGGUGUUGCGCAAAACUGGCUGUUCGCUGUUCCUCAAAGAACCCUCUGAUUGGGCGCUACCAGGACGGAACUCACAAUGUUGUAGACAUUUCCCAGUGUAAAGUAAGUCAAAGGGACGUCUCAGUUGAAAUCAGAGGCAAAGCAACUUUGAAGGACCCUCAAUCACUACCCUAAACUCAUACUUAUAUAAACUGUGGAUGGGAAAGCUCCAAAGAGGAUUGCGAGUUUUGUUGUCUAGCAAAGAGUGGCAUUUGGAAAACCCAGAGUAUUGAGAUUCUGGCUGUAUUCAGGGGGGCCAAGGAGCAGGCGUCAAGAAGAAGAAAUCAGGGAAGAAGAAAAAACAAUCAUGAGAAUCAGCAAGGAGUUUCUACGAUCCCUUAAGGAUUAUAAAUUGCAAAGAAGGUUCUCAACAUUGGCCAGUGUAGGAGAUACAGGAUAUUGAUUCCUGGCAUGCUUAGACCAUUACCAGAACCGGCAUGAACGAUGGGUGUACGCCAUGUACAUGUAACAGAAAUUUUAUCAACUAUCAGAAUUCUCUGUUAUAGAGGAAGGGAAAUGGGAUACUGUUACACAUCAAAGGAGAAAGUAUAGAAAUAAAGAGAAUAGGAAGGAAUAGGUCUGGAAAUACCAUGUAAUAGAUAGCUAUAGUAAGUGAGAAAGUCAAAAAAAGUCAGCUAGUUGUUUGGGGGGAAAUUUGGUUAGAGGUAGUUACCAGAUUGUAACCUGCUUCUGGCAGAAAAUGGUGAAUAAAAAGAGCUGGAAUAGCUCCUGUGUACUCAUUCUAGAUCUCUGAUCAAUAAGGAAUCUUUCUUCUCUGUCUCAA